rnacentral:rRNA from 1 species
AUACGGAGGGUGCAAGCGUUACUCGGAAUCACGGGGCGUAAAGCGCGCGCAGGCGGGCUGAUAAGUUGGAUGUGAAAGCCUACGGCUCAACCGUAGAACUGCAUCCAAAACUGUCAGUCUAGAGUGUGGGAGAGGAAGAUGGAAUUAGUUGUGUAGGGGUAAAAUCCGUAGAGAUAACUAGGAAUACCAAAAGCGAAGGCAAUCUUCUGGAACACUACUGACGCUGAGGCGCGAAGGCGUGGGGAGCAAACAGGAUUAGAUACCCCAGUAGUCC